GGCACGGUGGUGAAGUCGGUAGCACUGUCGGCUCACAGCAAGGAGGUUGUGGGUUCGAAUCUCAGCUUGGGGCC
rnacentral:tRNA from 1 species